UUUAAGAGCACAUUUCUCUGCAGCGUCAUUCUCCUGUGCUGCUAACCACUUCCUCCUAUACACCAGGUUUAUUUUUUGACUACAGGUUUUCACUACGCUGCAAAGUGGGAGCGAUCAACAUUACUGCCGUUCUCAUGGACAGCGCAGGGCUUUUCUUCCAUGGCUAAGAGUAUUCAGCUCCAGUAUCUGGGUGUCUGUGUGAUUCUGCUGCAUCUUACAUGUGGAGAUGAAUUGGUUUCAAUCAACAAACCUCUGGGAGUGAACGUUACGCUGCGCUGCAAUUCAUCUAAUGAUGUAUUGAAAACUGAUUGGGCAAAGGAUGGAAUCAAGGUGUUUAUACAUAGUUCGAAAUUGGGAAAAAACAAAACCAAAACCAAAACAAACUUCACUUCUGAAAGGAUGAGUGUUGAUCCUGCUACUCCAACGAUACUGCAGAUAUCUGAUGUGCAGGUGUCUGAUGAGGGUAUAUACACAUGUACAGUUACUACAUAUCAGACAGUGAUUAAGACAAAAUGGAACUUGACCAUUUCUACUGACAACCCAGAUCUACCAACAUCAAUCUAUAUUUAUACUGCUGCCAUAUCAGGGACGAUCAUCAUUGUCAUCAUCAUCAUCAUCAUCAUACUAUGCAUUUACAGG